rnacentral:rRNA from 1 species
UGGGGAAUAUUGCACAAUGGGGGAAACCCUGAUGCAGCAACGCCGCGUGAAGGAUGAAGGCCUUUGGGUCGUAAACUUCUGUUCUAAGGGAAGAUAGUGACGGUACCUUAGGAGCAAGUCCCGGCUAACUACGUGCCAGCAGCCGCGGUAAUACGUAGGGGGCAAGCGUUAUCCGGAAUUAUUGGGCGUAAAGAGUACGUAGGUGGUUUUCUAAGCACGGGGUUUAAGGCAAUGGCUUAACCAUUGUUCGCCUUGUGAACUGGAAGACUUGAGUGCAGGAGAGGAAAGCGGAAUUCCUAGUGUAGCGGUGAAAUGCGUAGAUAUUAGGAGGAACACCAGUGGCGAAGGCGGCUUUCUGGACUGUAACUGACACUGAGGUACGAAAGCGUGGGGAGCAAACAG